UGAAGGGGCUUAGUGUUGGGGGAUCCAGGUGUGGGUUGAGAGGGUUCUGUGUGGGGCAAUUUGAGUGCUGGCAACUCAGUGGGGGAUCCAAGUGGGGGCAGGAUCUGGAUGCACAGGAGCUUGUUGGGGGGGUCUGGAGAACGGAA